AAUGAUGAGGAGCUGGCGGUGCCGGUGCACUUUCGGUGCCCGAUCUCGCUUGGGCUGAUGAAGGACCCAAUCACAGCGCCUACGAGCAUCACCAAUGGCCGGGAGAGGUGGAUGGUGCGGGGGCGCGGCACGUGCCCCAUCACCGGUGGAUCCAUGCAGCUCACCGACCUCAUCCCCAACAACGCCAUGCGCCGCAUGAUCCAGGACUGGUGUGUCGUCGAUCGAGCCAAGCAGGUGCCUGUCGCCGAGGCCGCCGCCGCCCAGGUGCUCGCCGCUGCCAGGCGCGGGAACGCGGCGGCAUGUGGGUAGGUCACCACCAGGGCUAGGGCCAUCGGGAAGGAGAGCGACUGCAACCGUCGGUGCCUCGCAGCUGCCGGCGCCACCCGCUAGCUCUCCUCGGCUUUCCAGAGCCUCACCGGAGAGCCCAUGGAGGGCACCAGCACCGCAGCAUUGGACGCGCUGGGGACGAUCUUGGCGGCCCUUACCGUGUUCUUCCCGCUCGACGACGAGGCCAGGCGCUGCAUUGCCUCCCAGGCGUCUCUCAAGACCCUCGUCUCGGUGCUCUCCCACGGUGACGUCGCCGCAUGGGCCAGCGCCGCCAUUGUCCACUGUGACGUCACCUCAUCUGCCAAUCGGCACCCCGACGACAUCAUCUCGAGGAUGCCUGGCGUGUGCAGUGCGUUUGUCAGCCUCGUCGAGAACCCCGUGCCUUAGGCCACCAAGGUCAUGCUCAUCAUGAGCUACUACCUCAUCUAUGACAGCGACCGCAUGGCCGCCCACUUCACCAAGCUAGGGGCAGUGCUCGUUGUUGUGGAGCUCCUCGUGGUCAUGGACACUAACAAGGGGACGAGCGAGAAGGCACUGGCCGUGCUCGACAAUGUCUUGUGCGGCGACACUAGCCUCGAGUCCGCGCGUGCGCACACGUUGGUCGUGCCGGUGCUGGUCAAGUAGAUGUUCCGCAUGUCCAACAUGGGCACGGAGUUUGCUGUCUCAGCGCUCUGGCACCUCUGCUAUGUCACGGACAUCGGUGUUGGCGCGUGUUGUGAUGAGGCACUGCGUGUGAGCACCUACCGGAAGCUGCUCCAGGUGUGCUACAGCAGCGUGACCAAGCAUCGGGCCAGCGAGCUGCUCAAGCUGUUGAAUGGUUUCAGGGGCAGUGUAGAGUGCAUCGAGAUGGUGGACUUCAAGGGGCUCAAUAGGCCAUUUUGA
rnacentral:rRNA from 1 species